rnacentral:RNase_P_RNA from 1 species
UUGCGCCUUGAGGAAAGUCCGGGCUCCACAAGGAAUGGUAACUGCUAACGGCAGCCGGGGGUGACCCCAGGGAAAGUGCAACAGAGAUGAGACUGCCUGCCUUUGCAGGCGAUGGUGGAAAGGUGCGGUAAGAGCGCACCAGCGCGCUUGGUGACUUGCGCGGCUGUGUAAACCCUACCAGGAGCAACGCCCGUAUGAGAACGAUACGUCCCCUUGCGUGUUCUCGGAGGCGGCUUGAGCUGUGUGGCAACACCCAGCCUAGAUAGAUCGUCGUUUAAUACAGAACCCGGCUUACGGUUUGGU